AACGAACGCUGGCGGCAUGCCUAACACAUGCAAGUCGAACGAGACCUUCGGGUCUAGUGGCGCACGGGUGCGUAACGCGUGGGAACCUGCCCUUAGGUUCGGAAUAACUCCCCGAAAGGGGUGCUAAUACCGGAUAAUGUCUUCGGACCAAAGAUUUAUCGCCUUAGGAUGGGCCCGCGUUGGAUUAGCUAGUUGGUAGGGUAAAAGCCUACCAAGGCGACGAUCCAUAGCUGGUCUGAGAGGAUGAUCAGCCACACUGGGACUGAGACACGGCCCAGACUCCUACGGGAGGCAGCAGUGGGGAAUAUUGGACAAUGGGCGAAAGCCUGAUCCAGCAAUGCCGCGUGAGUGAUGAAGGCCUUAGGGUGGUAAAGCUCUUUUACCCGGGAUGAUAAUGACAGUACCGGGAGAAUAAGCUCCGGCGAACUCCGG
rnacentral:rRNA from 1 species